rnacentral:lncRNA from 1 species
GCCAUCUCUUGGGCCGCUCCUGCGGCAUAUGGAGGUUCCCAGGCUAGGGGUCGAAUCGGAGCUGUAGCCGCCGGCCUACACCACAGCCACAGAAAAGCGGGAUCCGAGCCGCAUCUGCAACCUACACCACGGCUCACGGCAACGCCGGAUCCUUAACCCCCUGAGCGAGGCCAGGGAUCGAACCCGCAACCUCAUAGUUCCUAGUCGGAUUCGUUAACCACUGCGCCAUGACGGGAACUCCGAUCUACCCAGGAAUUCUUUUGCUGGAACAACCUUGCAGCUUCUGCUGCAACACCAUCAGGCUGUGGCUACAGCGACUGACAAUUGGUCCCUGCCUGCCCACCUGGUCAGGAGGCGGAGGGAGGAGUGCACCUGGGCUCUUGGAGGCUGGCACCUGCCUGACAGCCGCACAGGUGUCCUCGCCGGCUGCAAAGGGUCUCCCAGUCUCAUCAGACCCUCUCAUUCAUUCUGCACCAACAACUGUAAGAACCAUGUCAGUUUUAAGAGGGAUAGAUGCACAUGGCAACAUAAAGUAUUAUGAGUGUCACCUUCCUUAUGAGAGACCCACUUCCACGCAGAAUGCUGGCCUAUUAAUGCUAGAAAGGACCUGGGAACCACCUGUCCCAGUGGAUGGUCUUCAGAUCCCACAGAAGCACUCAGACGGAUGAAGAGAGAGGGUUCCGAUUUUGGAAAUGGUACGAAGCCUUGUUUCAGUCAUUCCCCGGUGGACAACCAUGGGGAAGACUGGGCUCUAUUUACAUCAUCUGUUUGGAGGCACCUGACUGGCACAGCCAAGACUCUGGGCUGAAAGAGGCCAGAGAGACGGGCCCUGGAUUCCACACCGUCUGUCCUGCCUGAGAUGUCCACCAGCAUCCACGUAACUCGCGAGGGUCUGAGGACCAAAGGACGCAUGACGGGGGGUCUGGGACUCACGUUCACGGCCCACUGAGGGAGGCUCCCCAGCACGUGCCACAGACGUUUGGUUCGGAUCCCUUCAGGUUCCUUCCCAGGAGUCAAGGUGAACUGGAAGCAGCUCCGUUCUGGGCAUUGGAGACCAGCUCUGAAUCGUCUCAACUCCUAAUUUUACUGAAGUGAUUUUCCCUACUCUAGAUGCCCGAAGGAAGCAAAAGCAAAUAAUUUCUGAAGUAAGAUAACCUUACAUCCAGCCUUAACAUAGAACUAGUUUUUAUCUACACUGUCUGUAAUGCAAACAAAAUAAAACAGGGCACAGAAAAGGGAGAUCUGACCAUAAUCCAGGAAACAAAAACAAACACUAGAAACAGAUACACAGGAAUUGUCUGAUGAGAAUUUAAGCUAGUUUUGAUGAAGAGGCCUAAGGGGAAAUUAACACAUGCUGGAUGUCGGGAAACAAAUGAAAAUUAUUAUGGAAAUUUUAGCAUUAAAACUAUAAAAAUUGAAGUGAGGGACUCGAUUGAUGGUUUUGGCAGAAUAUGCCUGGAUGAAGAGAAAAUCAGUGAAAUGAAAAGAGCAUCAUAAGACAACAUCGCAAUUGACGUACAGAGAGAGAAACUAACGUAAAAGCAAUAAAACGCUCUUUUAAAAUUUAAGAUGAAGACUAUUCCACAGUGAUGAAAGACAUCAACCCACAAGCUGUGGGAAAACACAUAAACUAGGUGAAGGUAAAGCAUUCCUGGGGCCCCUGAGUUUUGGAAAGUGGUUGAACUGUAGCUGUUUUCAUAGGUCAGGAAUACAAACCGGAAUUUCCGAGCAACUAGUAAAGAGCAGGAAGAGAAAGCGUAGCGAAAAGGCGAUGGAGGUUAAAAGGAAAAGCAUAAAAUACUGAACCCAAAUCCAUAUGAGAAGAACGGCACGAAGCAGUGGGGAAACGUGGCAAAGAAGAGCAACUCGAGGAUGACACACCCCGAGGCGUGAAAGUACUAAGCGGUAUUCACACCCCAGGUCGUCCGACUUGGACCAAACACAAACCCGGCUGCGCGCCAGCGGCUUUCCAGAGCCCGCCUUCCUUUCACAGGCUCGGGUGGCUGGAAGCAGAGCCAUGAGGAAACGUACCCACCGAGAACGCCCACAAACACAGACUCCUACAGGUUUUUUCAAACGUACGGACGCCCAGGGCCGACUGCAGCUGUGCUGGUUUCCAGAACCUUGGCUGGGGCUGCGCAUGUGUGCUAUCAAAACCGUGGAUGUUGAGUCGGACCCUCCGGCCGAGACACCUGUUCAUCUUACUGAUGGGGAGACGGAGGCCAGCAGGGCAAACGACUGCUCAAAACCCUCGCAAGCAGGGUCUGUUCAGUAUUUUACGGACGGCUGCUACGAGGGAAAUGAUGGACAAUGUUUCCUAAAUUCAUAAUCUAAAGUUAGGCGUGUGUGUGUCGAAACAACUACCCAACCAGACAGAAGAGGAAGGGGCCUUAGGAAAGGGACGAGGUCGAACGCCACCGGCGGAGGAGGAAAGGUGGGCGUGGAAGCGGGUUGGGGUCUUCAGAGGAGACAAGAAGAGUGGACUUGAGAGGCGAGAGGCGGGCGGGGCGUAACCGCGGGGCUUUGGCGAACCCGCCCUCAACAAGGAAGUAAACUGUGGGUCGGCGUCUCAGAAAAUGCUCAUCCUUUGCCUUGAGGAGCAAAUACACUUCUUCCUCUGAGAUACUCUGAAAUGCCACCUUCUCCUGGCAGCUGACCUUUCAGAAAAACUCCGCCUGAAAGCAGUUUGCGGGGCUGAGACCCGCCCCCCCAACGCCACUCCCUCCUGCUUCGCUGUCGAGGACCUGGGGGCGGCUGGGCGAGGCCGAGGGAUGGAUGCGGGAGACGGAGGAGCCGCACAGCCAGCCGUUUUGGGAGCAUCUCCCGAGCACCAUCCCUGCCACCUGCCCCACCCGCCAGCUCAGCGGAGGAUGGUGGAGCAUGAGACAGAGGAGGGCAGGACCCAGAAGGACAGUGCAGAGCGGAACCCCCUCCCCAGCCAGUGACUCAUAGGACUCGCGCGAGAAAUACACUUGAGGGUGUCAAGCGGCUGGCGCUGCAAGCUGCGGGCUCGGCAGUCAGCCUCCUGUUAUUAGAGUUGCCUCCCCUCCUGCCUUGGUUGCAUUUAUUCAGCUCUAUUCUCUGACCCACCUGCCCUCCUAUCUCUAAAGCACAGUUUCCUUCCUCCCCCAGGAGCUGCCCGGUAAAGUAUGUCACCCACAUGUCAAGCCUUCAGCUGCACAAGGAGCCGGAAAGUCACACACGCUGUCAGCUAUGCGACCCCCCUCCAAGGGGCAGGCAGCACGAAGCUUUCAGCAGCAACUGCUAAAAAUAAAACGAAGCCCGCGUGGUUCCCAUUUGCAUCCACAGUGUCGACAUGCAGCUCUCUGAUUUCCCCGAGGAAACGCAGCCAAGAUGCUCUUCUCCCCAGGGCCUGCCUUCACGCGGGCAGUGUCCUCGAAUUCCGGUUGCGCCUUACGGUUCACCGAGUGCUUCUCUAGAAAAUGUCACUUAGCCACCGUGGUGCCCCGAGGAAGGGUACAGAGUUGUCAGCACCAGCUUAUGAGGUGGUACACACCGGCCACGGAGCCCACCCCUUGCCAGGGUAUCAGUGUUCUCCUGCUGUUGUAACAAAUUAGCAUGAUUCCGGGGCUCAAAACAGAACAGUUUCUUCUCUCACCUUAUUAUCGUAGAGUUCUAGAGCCAAGAGUCCUAAAAAUCAAGCCCUGAAAGUGGGGCUGCCCUCCUUAUCAAGCCUCCGGGCUCCACCUGCUUGUUCCUUUCCAGCCUCCUUGGCGCUGGCCCCUCCCUCACAGCACUCCUGCCUCCGCUUCCGUCACCCCGUCUCCUUCCGCCUCCCUCUUCCAGGAAGCCCUGUGAUUGCACUGGGUCCCUCCAAUAAGCCAGGAUCAUCUCCCACCUCAGAGUCUUCCGCUGACUCCUACGUGCAAAGGCCCUUUGGUCGCAAGCGGUGCUGGGUCAGGACGCGGGCACCUCCGUGGCUAUUACGUGUGUACAUAUAUAUUUAUGAAGGGCAGCGUCUGAGCCUCCUGAGGCCGGCUCUUCCCGCUCUCAGCAGGUGCUCCUUCUGAAGAGAGAAUCCCACAAACACCAGUGACAACCUAGGAGAGGGAGGUGUCCCUGUGCCUGUCGGCCGAGUGCAGGCGCCCUCCUGCGCUGAGCCCCACGGGAAAGGCCACCUGUGCCGGAAUCAGAGGUUCUGUGUGUUCCUUGGUCCUCAGCUCCUGCCUGUGCCAGCUUGAGCCCCAGUUGAUGUGAUCGCCCCAAGCCAGUGUGUUUCGGAGAAGUAAACAGAAGGCAUUCGUAUGUAAUCGGUAGGAUUCCGCGGGUGGAGUCCUACGCCAAACACCCCGACCCUCUGUGAGUGCCCGAAGGUAAGCUGGCUAUACUGUCAUUCCAGUUACGGAAGCAGAACAAAUAGAAAUUCUGAAAAGACCCAAGUUUGAAACAAAGAAGGUGUGUGGGUGAAGUACGCGGUGUCCCAGCCCCCUGGGACAACGCAGCACAGACGCAGCUGCUGGAGGCUCCUUAUGGGGUCCUGUGUCACCACGCCGCCAGCUGCUCAAGGUCAGGCUGAGAUUAAAUCUGCAGUCCUGAUGUCCAGCUCAUUUUCCCAACUCAAAUAUGAGCUAAACUAUUAUUUAACAAUCUUCUAUUUUUGCCAUUAAUGGUUAGGUUUCUUUAAACUUUCAGCAGGUUUAACCUUCUUAGGUGGUGAGUUGAGCUAACGUCGUUUUUCUGUAGUUUACCACUAAUGACAAAUUCACUUUUAGGUUUUGAAAAUACUGAAAGCCUCCAAAAGCAUUCCUUGCAUCCCUAUAUUUAAUGGCAUGUAGUCAUUACUUCAAAAGCAAGAAAUAGAGCUUUUUAUUGG